GACGAACGCUGGCGGCGUGCCUAAUACAUGCAAGUUGAGCGAUGAAGAUUGGUGCUUGCACCAAUUUGAAGAGCAGCGAACGGGUGAGUAACGCGUGGGGAAUCUGCCUUUGAGCGGGGGACAACAUUUGGAAACGAAUGCUAAUACCGCAUAACAACUUUAAACAUAAGUUUUAAGUUUGAAAGAUGCAAUUGCAUCACUCAAAGAUGAUCCCGCGUUGUAUUAGCUAGUUGGUGAGGUAAAGGCUCACCAAGGCGAUGAUACAUAGCCGACCUGAGAGGGUGAUCGGCCACAUUGGGACUGAGACACGGCCCAAACUCCUACGGGAGGCAGCAGUAGGGAAUCUUCGGCAAGGGACGAAAGUCUGACCGAGCAACGCCGCGUGAGUGAAGAAGGGUUUCGGAUCGUAAAACUCUGUUGGUAGAGAAGAACGUUGGUGAGAGUGGAAAGCUCAUAAAGUGACGGUAACUACCCAGAAAGGGACGGCUAACUACGUG
rnacentral:rRNA from 1 species